rnacentral:tRNA from 1 species
AUUUAAAUAGCUUAUUUAUAGAGUAUAAUAUUGAAGAUAUUAGGGAGAUUAUUUAAUCUUUAAAUA